GACGAACGCUGGCGGCGUGCCUAAUACAUGCAAGUAGGACGCAGUUGUGAACGGGUGAGUAACGCGUAGGUAACUGCCUAUUAGAGGGGGAUAACUAUUGGAAACGAUAGCUAAUACCGCAUACUAGUAGAUGGACCUGCGUUGUAUUAGCUAGUAGGUAGGGUAAUGGCCUACCUAGGCAACGAUACAUAGCCGACCUGAGAGGGUGAACGGCCACACUGGGACUGAGGCAAGGCGCAGACUCCUACGGGAGGCAGCAGUAGGGGAUCUUCGGAAAUGGGGGGAAAGCUGACCGAGCAACGCCGCGGGAGUGAAGGAGGGUUUCGGAUCGGAAAGCUCUGUUGUUAAGGAAGCGGUACUUAACCAGAAAGGGACGGCUAACUACGUGCCAGCAGCCGCGGUAAUAC
rnacentral:rRNA from 1 species